rnacentral:SRP_RNA from 1 species
GCCGGGCGCGGUGGCGCGCGCCUGUAGUCCCAGCUACCCGGGAGGCUGAGGCUGGAGGAUCGCUUGAGUCCAGGAGUUCUGGGCUGUAGUGCGCUGUGCCGAUCGGGUGUCCGCACUAAGUUCGGCAUCAAUAUGGUGACCUCCCGGGAGCGGGGGACCACCAGGUUGCCUAAGGAGGGGUGAACCGGCCCAGGUCGGAAACGGAGCAGGUCAAAACUCCCGUGCUGAUCAGUAGUGGGAUCGCGCCUGUGAAUAGCCACUGCACUCCAGCCUGGACAACAUAGCGAGACCCCGUCUCUU